rnacentral:rRNA from 1 species
GAUGAACGCUGGCGGCGUGCCUAAUACAUGCAAGUCGAGCGAACGGACGAGAAGCUUGCUUCUCUGAUGUUAGCGGCGGACGGGUGAGUAACACGUGGAUAACCUACCUAUAAGACUGGGAUAACUUCGGGAAACCGGAGCUAAUACCGGAUAAUAUUUUGAACCGCAUGGUUCAAAAGUGAAAGACGGUCUUGCUGUCACUUAUAGAUGGAUCCGCGCUGCAUUAGCUAGUUGUUAAGGUAACGGCUUACCAAGGCAACGAUGCAUAGCCGACCUGAGAGGGUGAUCGGCCACACGGGAGCUGGGACACGGUCCAGACUCCUACGGGAGGCAGCAGUAGGGAAUCUUCCGCAAAGGGCGAAAGCCUGACGGAGCAACGCCGCGUGAGUGAUGAAGGUCUUCGGAUCGUAAAACUCUGUUAUGAGGGAAGAACAUAUGUGUAAGUAAAUGUGCACAUCUUGACGGUACCUAAUCAGAAAGCAACGGCUAACUACGUG